rnacentral:rRNA from 1 species
GAUGAACGCUGGCGGCGUGCUUAACACAUGCAAGUCGAACGAAGCACUUUAUUUGAUUUCCUUCGGGACUGAUUAUUUUGUGACUGAGUGGCGGACGGGUGAGUAACGCGUGGGUAACCUGCCUUGUACAGGGGGAUAACAGUUGGAAACGGCUGCUAAUACCGCAUAAGCGCACAGCAUCGCAUGGUGCAGUGUGAAAAACUCCGGUGGUAUAAGAUGGACCCGCGUUGGAUUAGCUAGUUGGUGAGGUAACGGCCCACCAAGGCGACGAUCCAUAGCCGACCUGAGAGGGUGACCGGCCACAUUGGGACUGAGACACGGCCCAAACUCCUACGGGAGGCAGCAGUGGGGAAUAUUGCACAAUGGGCGAAAGCCUGAUGCAGCGACGCCGCGUGAGCGAAGAAGUAUUUCGGUAUGUAAAGCUCUAUCAGCAGGGAAGAUAAUGACGGUACCUGACGAAGAAGCACCGGCUAAAUACGUG